CCUACGGGAGGCAGCAGUAGGGAAUAUUGCUCAAUGGGGGAAACCCUGAAGCAGCAACGCCGCGUGGAGGAUGAAGGUUUUCGGAUUGUAAACUCCUUUUGUUAGAGAAGCUAAUGACGGUCUCUAACGAAUAAGCACCGGCUAACUCCGUGCCAGCAGCCGCGGUAAUACGGAGGGUGCAAGCGUUACUCGGAAUCACUGGGCGUAAAGGGCGCGUAGGCGGGAUAGCAAGGCAAAUGUGAAAUCCUAUGGCUUAACCAUAGAACUGCAUUUGAAACUGGUAUUCUAGAGUAUGGGAGAGGUAGGUGGAAUGCUUGGUGUAGGGGUAAAAUCCGUAGAGAUCAAGAGGAAUACUCAUUGCGAAGGCGACCUGCUAGAACAUAACUGACGCUGAUGCGCGAAAGCGUGGGGAGCAAACAGGAUUAGAUACCCGAGUAGUC
rnacentral:rRNA from 1 species